rnacentral:rRNA from 1 species
AUUGAACGCUGGCGGCAUGCCUUACACAUGCAAGUCGAACGGUAACGGGCCUUCGGGUGCCGACGAGUGGCGCACGGGUGAGUAAUACAUCGGAACGUGCCCGAUCGUGGGGGAUAACGAGGCGAAAGCUUUGCUAAUACCGCAUACGAUCUACGGAUGAAAGCAGGGGACCGCAAGGCCUUGCGCGGACGGAGCGGCCGAUGGCAGAUUAGGUAGUUGGUGGGAUAAAAGCUUACCAAGCCGACGAUCUGUAGCUGGUCUGAGAGGAUGAUCAGCCACACUGGGACUGAGACACGGCCCAGACUCCUACGGGAGGCAGCAGUGGGGAAUUUUGGACAAUGGGCGCAAGCCUGAUCCAGCCAUGCCGCGUGCAGGAUGAAGGCCUUCGGGUUGUAAACUGCUUUUGUACGGAACGAAAAGCCUUCUUUUAAUACAGGAGGGUCAUGACGGUACCGGAAGAAUAAGCACCGGCUAACUACGUG